rnacentral:rRNA from 1 species
AACAAACGCUGGCGGCGUGCCUAAUACAUGCAAGUCGAACGGGGAAAGCUUUCGGGUGAGUACUAGUGGCGCACGGGUGAGUAACGCGUGGAUAAUCUGCCCUCGAAUGGGGAAUAACUAGUCGAAAGAUUAGCUAAUACCGCAUAAGACCACAACUACUGAGGUAGUUGGGGUCAAAGGAGCAAUUCGUUUGAGGAUGAGUCCGCGUAAGAUUAGCUAGUUGGUGAGGUAAUGGCUCACCAAGGCGAUGAUCUUUAACUGGUCUGAGAGGAUGACCAGUCAAACUGGAACUGAGACACGGUCCAGACUCCUACGGGAGGCAGCAGUAGGGAAUAUUGGACAAUGGGGGCAACCCUGAUCCAGCGACGCCGCGUGAGCGAUGAAGGCCUUCGGGUCGUAAAGCUCUGUUGUAAGGGAAAAAGUUCUGAUUGUACCUUACGAGAAAGGAUCGGCUAACUUCGUGCCAGCAGCCGCCGUAA